rnacentral:tRNA from 1 species
AGAAUAGUAGUUAUUUAUAACAUCUAAAUUGCAAUUAGAAGGUAUCUAUAAAAUAGAUCUAUUUUA